rnacentral:rRNA from 1 species
AGUAACGCGUGAGCAACCUGCCUAUGACAGUGGGAUAGCCUCGGGAAACCAGGAUUAAUACCGCAUAAAAUCGUAGAAACGCAUGUUUUAACGGUCAAAGAUUUAUCGGUCAUAGAUGGGCUCGCGUCUGAUUAGCUAGUUGGUGAGAUAACAGCCCACCAAGGCGACGAUCAGUAGCCGGUCUGAGAGGAUGAACGGCCACAUUGGAACUGAGACACGGUCCAA